UAUUAUUAUUUAGUAUUAUUCAGCUUAAAGAAAUGGUAUCGUGGAGAACCGAGUUCGGGUUUCAAGUACCUGGAUUUGGGGUCGCCACAUUAUUUUCAUUAAUUAAUUUUACUUAAUUACACUCAAGUUAAUUGAUUUGCUAAAUAAACAAAAUUCGAUCAUAAGCAUUUUUGUUAUCAUUAAAUAUUUCAUUUAACUUAUAAAAUCACCAAGAUAAUUUUUUUUUAAAACACAAAGUCAAUUCGGUAGACCAUAUUCAUUCA
rnacentral:lncRNA from 1 species